GUUAUGUCAUGUUAUCGACAUGUGAAUUCAUAGCAUGUCAGAAGGCAGACCCGGAGAACUGAAACAUCUUAGUACCCGGAGGAAGAGAAAGAAAAAUCGAUUCCCUGAGUAGCGGCGAGCGAAACGGGAAGAGCCCAAACCAACAAGCUUGCUUGUUGGGGUUGUAGGACACUCUAUACGGAGUUACAAAAGAACAUGUUAGACGAAUCAUCUGGAAAGAUGAAUCAAAGAAGGUAAUAAUCCUGUAGUCGAAAACAUAUUCUCUCUUGAGUGGAUCCUGAGUACGACGGAGCACGUGAAAUUCCGUCGGAAUCUGGGAGGACCAUCUCCUAAGGCUAAAUACUCUCUAGUGACCGAUAGUGAACCAGUACCGUGAGGGAAAGGUGAAAAGUACCCCGGAAGGGGAGUGAAAGAGAACUUGAAACCGUGUGCUUACAAGUAGUCAGAGCCCGUUAAUGGGUGAUGGCGUGCCUUUUGUAGAAUGAACCGGCGAGUUACGAUCUGAUGCAAGGUUAAGCAGCAAAUGUGGAGCCGCAGCGAAAGCGAGUCUGAAUAGGGCGUUGAGUAUUUGGUCGUAGACCCGAAACCAGGUGAUCUACCCUUGGUCAGGUUGAAGUUCAGGUAACACUGAAUGGAGGACCGAACCGACUUACGUUGAAAAGUGAGCGGAUGAACUGAGGGUAGCGGAGAAAUUCCAAUCGAACUUGGAGAUAGCUGGUUCUCUCCGAAAUAGCUUUAGGGCUAGCCUCAAGUGAUGAUUAUUGGAGGUAGAGCACUGUUUGGACGAGGGGCCCCUCUCGGGUUACCGAAUUCAGACAAACUCCGAAUGCCAAUUAAUUUAACUUGGGAGUCAGAACAUGGGUGAUAAGGUCCGUGUUCGAAAGGGAAACAGCCCAGACCACCAGCUAAGGUCCCAAAAUAUAUGUUAAGUGGAAAAGGAUGUGGCGUUGCCCAGACAACUAGGAUGUUGGCUUAGAAGCAGCCAUCAUUUAAAGAGUGCGUAAUAGCUCACUAGUCGAGUGACACUGCGCCGAAAAUGUACCGGGGCUAAACAUAUUACCGAAGCUGUGGAUUGUCCUUUGGACAAUGGUAGGAGAGCGUUCUAAGGGCGUCGAAGCAUGAUCGCAAGGACAUGUGGAGCGCUUAGAAGUGAGAAUGCCGGUGUGAGUAGCGAAAGACGGGUGAGAAUCCCGUCCACCGAUUGACUAAGGUUUCCAGAGGAAGGCUCGUCCGCUCUGGGUUAGUCGGGUCCUAAGCUGAGGCCGACAGGCGUAGGCGAUGGAUAACAGGUUGAUAUUCCUGUACCACCUAGUAUCGUUUUAAUCGAUGGGGGGACGCAGUAGGAUAGGCGAAGCGUGCUGUUGGAGUGCACGUCCAAGUAGUAAGGCUGAGUGUUAGGCAAAUCCGGCACUCAUAAGGCUGAGCU
rnacentral:rRNA from 1 species